rnacentral:lncRNA from 1 species
GUGGUAUACUGUAAAUAGAAAUUUAUAACAUCAAAUUACAUUGUGUGCUUAACCAAAUGGAGACUUUACAUUUUCAUAUGUUGUUCUCUGCCCCUGUAUUGCUGUCAGCUGUGUUAGUGUAGCGAACCCAUCAACAGGGAGAGGGUUGCUUUCUAAAUGACAUGUUGAGGACAUGUCCUCACUUUGUCCUCUAUUAGAAGUUUGGUUUUGAGUCUCGACAUUCAUGUUACUUUGUUCUCGGGGUACACAUUCGAAAGCUGUAUUUUUCAGGUAUCUUUGAAACAAUCUUAUUUCAUGCUUAAAGCCAAGAUGUAAUUAAGCAGCAGUUAUUUUAUUUUAACCUUAUUCUUACUGUACUUUUGGACAGUAGCUUGGAUUAGGUGCCUUCAUAAAGGGGAUCCUUGACAGGGAACAGUAGGUCCAGAUACCCACUAAAACAUACCCCCCUACACACACUUUCUCCUUCCUUGCCGUGCAGGUCGAUUUGAUAGAACAUCAGGAUACCAGAGAACAAAACUGAUAAAUGUAAAUUGAGGUCUCUGACAUAGAUGCUGGGAGAGAAUUUGAGACCAUGAUCCUUAUAAUCUGAGGAGUUAUAAACGGGGCGGAAAUGGCCUAAGGAGUGAGGUUGAAAGAGUUGCAAAGUAAAGCUGAGCUAGUCUUGAAAACCUAUGUGCUUACUCAUAACGUUGCCCCUAAGAGGCCUCCUUGGGUUCAUCCGUUUUUCUUUGGGCUGAAGGCACUUGUUUGGAAGAUGUAAAUAUCCUCAUGCUUUUAAUGGAGAAAGGUUGAAACAGUCAUGCUUUCAGUCCUGAUCAGCUGACAGUCUUUGAUUUGACAUGAGCCACCCUGAGAUAAAGCAGAUACUGUUUCAGUGGUGUGACAGGGACCCCUAGAAAGAGGAGCUUGACGAGCAGGCCUUGCUGUGAUUUGUCUCUCUAACGGCUAGAUUGGAUUGAUGCUGGUUUUGUUAAUGAACCUGGGAUUGAAGCGGGAAGACAUCCUAUGCACAUGGCAUGUCCUUUAAUAAUAUGGCAGAAAACCAUUUUUAACAAUAAUCCCAUGCCCGUUUUCUCCUGAAACUGGAUGCUGGUUAUUGGCAUAUUUGAAAAGCCUGCUCCCGUGGCGCCUCCCAUAGGAACAGUUCGUAACCAGAGAUAACUGUUUGACUCAAGCUGAGGACCAUUUGGAACAUCCUGAAUACCUAAGCAGGUAUUUAAAUCUCUAAGGAAUUUCCUUUGUAGUAGUGAUUUGCUGGGGUUGUUUUUGUUUUGUUUUGUUUUAAUACCAGAAUUCCUUUGACACCAGAGUCAGAUCCUAUUUUUUGAAAGAAAUUGCUCACCGUGUCCCUCGUCUGUCAGUGAAAGCAGGCUCCCACCCCCUCCUUAAUUCAUUCUCCCAGACGUGCCUCCUGCCUUGUUUUUUAAGAUGCCUCACCCGGAAAAUGAGCAUGAGAGAGUCGUGAUUGCAGACGGCAGGGAGAGGCUCCCAUGACUCUGAGCACUGCUGAGGUUUCUUGAUUACAAAGGAUGAAACAAAUAUUUGUGUUUUAAAUCUCCCUAGAUUUUUGCCAUCUAGUGAUUGAGAUGUCUUUAAGGGUUUUGGCUACGUUUAAGGGUUCCUUUAUGCGGAUGUACUGUGAAUGUAUGAUCCUGUAUGAGCACAUUCUCAGCCUAAGCUUCAGCCCGCUUGGAAUCCUCUGGUGAUCUGGCUUGCUUUUUCAGCAUCUUCCCACUAAUUUCUCAGAAGGACACUUUAAAAAAAUCUAGUAAUAUGAAAAUAAAAUCUCUUGAUUUUAUUUUUUGAAGUUGUAAUUUGUCAAGAGGGGAUUUAUCUGGUAGGUCUUACUUUUAAUCUUUGCCUGUGGGGGAAAAAAAAUUCUGAAUUUUAAGUGCAUUGCUGAUGGAGUUCCUGUCGUGCCUCAGCAGAAACGAAUCUGACUGGUAUCCGUGAGGAUGCAGGUUCACUCCCUGGCCCUGCUCAUGGGUUAAGGAUCUGGCGUUGCCUUGAGCUGUGGUGUAGGUCGCAGACGUGGCUCGGAUCCCUCAUGGCUGUGGCUGUGGUGUAGGUCGGCAUCUGUAGGUCCAAUAUGACCCCUAGCCUGGGAACCUCCAUAUGCUGCAGGUACGGCCCUAAAAAUAAAUAAAUAAAUAAAGCAUCACCCUUGUUCUGGUCACAGUUUCUUCUGGUAGAUUGCUGGAGGACUGAGGAAAGAACCUUUUAGGAGUAGCCAACUAUCCAGUUUGCUAACCUCAAAAGGACACCCCACAAGCACUAUUCAUUCCUCUUCACCUGCUCUCAGUAGGUCUUCAGACACUCUUGGAGAAGUGCUUAGUGGUGAAAAUUAUGGGAGCAUUAUUAGUGCUUUAUCUAAAUAGUGUGGCAGGACAAGAUAAAUCCCUAAGGGGUUGUCUGGUUUAUCCUCACUUUCUGAGACACAGUGAUCCUAACCAGCUUUCAGACUGAGCCCCCUUUUACAAAAGGUGACCCCACGUGUGACGACAUGGUGGGGACUGCUGCCCCUCAGACAUGUAUGAAAUACAUGAAACGGUGGACGAAAAUUUCUAAGUGUGGAAGAUGCUUUUUUUCCGUCUGUUUCUCCAUCCCCCUGUCCACCCAUGCUCCAUGCAAAGCAAGUUCUCUGCCACCGAGGCCUCUGUCUCCCAAACCUGAAGCCACACACAUGCUGUCCUCAUACGGGAGGAGGAACACAGAUUCCUGAAGAGUAAACGGCCUUCAAGCAGGACAAAAACACCCCACCGACUUCUCUCCAGUUUUAUCCAAAGCAGUGGUGUAACUAAACCAAACUCUCUGGAAAAUUGGAUGCCAUCAACCUUGAAUGACAGGCCUAGAUAGGAAUGAGCCCAGCCCAGAGUGUAGCUGGGGAAACAUACUGUUUCCAGCAGCUUCCAUUUAGCAUGCGUCAGGCUGUGAAUUCUUCUGCACCUUAGUUUCUAGGCAACUUGCACACAUUUUAAAUCUGAAUAUAAACACAGACACAUAGACACCCCUCCAAAAAAAAA